rnacentral:rRNA from 1 species
CCUACGGGAGGCAGCAGUGGGGAAUAUUGGGCAAUGGAGGAAACUCUGACCCAGCGACGCCGCGUGAGGGAUGAAGGCCUUCGGGUUGUAAACCUCUUUCAGUAGGGAAGAAGCGAAAGUGACGGUACCUACAGAAGAAGCACCGGCUAACUAUGUGCCAGCAGCCGCGGUAAUACAUAGGGUGCAAGCGUUGUCCGGAAUUAUUGGGCGUAAAGAGCUCGUAGGUGGUUCGAUACGUCGGAUGUGAAAAUCAGGGGCUCAACCCCUGACCUGCAUCCGAUACGGUCGAGCUAGAGUUUGGUAGGGGAGACUGGAAUUCCUGGUGUAGCGGUGGAAUGCGCAGAUAUCAGGAGGAGCACCGAUGGCGAAGGCAGGUCUCUGGGCCAAUACUGACACUGAGGAGCGAAAGCGUGGGGAGCGAACAGAAUUAGAUACCCUGGUAGUCCACGCCGUAAACGGUGGGCGCUAGUUGUGCGAACCUUCCACGGUUUGUGCGACGCNGCUACGACAUAGCGCCCGCCGUCGGGAGGUACGAGUCGCGAGAAGUUAAACGUUAAAGGUAAAGUUAGUUACGGCGUGUUAGACGUGCCGACGGACGACGACGAGGGGAGGUUAGG